rnacentral:misc_RNA from 1 species
GAAAUGCGAUAAGUAAUGUGAAUUGAAGAAUUCAGUGAAUCAUCGAAUCUUUGAACGAACCUUGCGCUCCUUGGUAUUCCUUGGAGCAUGCCUGUUUGAGUAUCAUGAAAUCUUCAAAGUAAAUCUUUUGUUAACUCAAUUGGUUUCUACUUUGGUAUUGGAGGUCUUUGCAGCUUCACACCUGCUCCUCUUUGUUCAUUAGCUGGAUCUCAGUGUUAUGCUUGGUUCCACUCGGCGUGAUAAGUUAUCUAUCGCUGAGGACACUGUAAAAGGUGGCCAAGGUAAAUGCAGAUGAACCGCUUCUAAUAGUCCAUUGACUUGGACAAUACUUUUAUGAUCUGAUCUCAAAUCAGGUAGGACUACCCGCUGAACUUAAGC